rnacentral:rRNA from 1 species
CCUACGGGAGACAGCAGUGAGGAAUAUUGGUCAAUGGACGCAAGUCUGAACCAGCCAUGCCGCGUGCAGGAUGACGGCUCUAUGAGUUGUAAACUGCUUUUAUACAGGGAUAAAGUCAGAUACGCGUAUCUGUCUGUAAGUACCGUACGAAUAAGGAUCGGCUAACUCCGUGCCAGCAGCCGCGGUAAUACGGAGGAUUCGAGCGUUAUCCGGAUUUAUUGGGUUUAAAGGGUGCGUAGGUGGUCGGAUAAGUUAGUGGUGAAAUCCCGAGGCUCAACUUCUGAAUUGCAUCUGAUACUGGUCGGCUAGAGAGUAGUUGCGGUAGGCGGAAUGUAUGGUGUAGCGGUGAAAUGCUUAGAGAUCAUACAGAACACCGAUUGCGAAGGCAGCUUACCAAGCUACCUCUGACGUUGAGGCACGAAAGCGUGGGGAGCAAACAGGAUUAGAUACCCGAGUAGUC